rnacentral:sRNA from 1 species
CUUCUCCAAUAGUAUAAUCUUAAGCUGCAUAUUUGGAUUACGCAUAGAGCUUCUAAACUAUCUAGUAAGUAUAUAUGCCAUUAAUUAACAAUGAGACUUUGCUUUUUCUUUUUCGUCAAACUCACUGGGACUUUCUUAAUCACAAAGUUGUGGAGCAAAAUACAUCACAAGGAAAGAGCCAACUUGUAUCGUCUUCUUUUUUUUGGGCGCGAUAUAUAUAUAUAUAUAUA